GGAGGUUUAGCUCAGUGGUUAGAGCUUAGGUCUUGUGACCAGAAGGCCCCGGAAUCGAAUCUUGCCAGAAGCUGAA
rnacentral:tRNA from 1 species